CAUCUUUUUAUAAUGGCGAAUCACAGAGUGAAGCACUCUAUCACAAUUUGAGCCCUCUAAGUGAAGAUCUGUUAAGAAUAUUCCUCUGGCUGCCAGAAGGUUGAUGAGCUACAAUACAGUAAAUGGAAUUCCUUUCUACCCUACCAUAACCUUUCAGUUUCCAGUGAGGCCUUAAAAGAGAGAGAGAAAACCAUGCCUUGGACAGACAUGCUGCCUGACUACAGCUGUGCUGUACAGAUUCUGAGUAAAUUUGGAGAAAUCACACCAGAAUGAAAUAAAUACAAAGGGAAAGCAUGUGGCUACGUAGCAUUACUACAUAUGGCACUAGUGAUGACUUUGGUGAGUAAAGGACUGCAAGAUAAGGCCAAUUCAUCUUCCAUUGAAGUCAAAGGAAACAUUCCAGUUAUGCCCACUGGGAGUUUAUAUAGGGCCCACACCAAAAUAACACAAUACUUUUGUGGCAGGCCCAGAAAAAAAAAAAAAAAAAAAAAACAGACAUGACUGGACUCGAUAUCUUGUGCAUUAGCCAGAAGGCUAUUCUUCCUCCUGUUUGGAUACUAUGCGAGACAUAGCUGGGUAUCGGAGAGAAAAAUCUACCUCUUCCCCAUGGAACAUACUAAUGUAAACAAUGAAAUCCUGAGGAUGGUAAGAACUCUGUCAAAGAUUCAGAAAUGAAGACAGUGUACAUCUCAACACUGGAAGUGAUUAAAUUAAUUAUUAUUUGAAACAUGUAUCUAAAAAAAGAACUCUAUAGUACUGAAAAUAUUGUGACUACUUCAAAAUAACCUUAGGAACUAUAGAAGAUGCUCAAUGCUUCAUAAAAGCAAAUGUUUCAUAGUUGACAAGCAAUUGAACUAUAGAAAGAAACUCGGUUAAGUUAAUUCUCUGAACCAGGACAAGGUAUAAACAAAAAAAUGUGAGACAAAGCACUAGAAUAUAAAAACAACAUCAUAUUAAAUAGUGCAAGGGUAUGUUUCCUACUACUCUAUGGUAGUCAUUUUAGGACAGCUAACAGAAGAAAUUGGAGGUAGGAUGUUAAAUGACAAUUAGAUGUUGCUUCUUGAAACUGUCCUUGAAUUUAGGUUGAUUUUUAACUGUUUCCUCUCUCAAGGAGUCGCAUGUAAAUGGGCUUUGGAGGAUUAAUUAUUGAACCAACAUCUAUUUUUAGCCAGCUGAUUGAAGUCAUAGGGACUGGAACAAUUAGUGCACCUGCUUUAAUUCAAUAGCCUCCUUUCGUACGAAUGUAUAUAUAUAAAUUAAUAGCCAGAAAGGGUGAGUGAUAAUUAGUGGAUUGUUCCAAAGUUACUGUUUCCUGUCAUGGCUCUAUAGUUGGGGCAGAAAGGUUUUGGGAAUACCUCUCAAUAUUAGCAUUGGCUAGCUAAGGAUGACAUAUGGAUCACUACCACUCUUAAAAUAUAGGUCUGAUAUACCUGAGCUUUGGUACAUUACCCCAUUUUAGAACACUGAAUAUUAAAUUCCAUUCUGUUGGUUGCCAGUUAAUUUCUAAAGCUAUGGCCAUACUACAGAGCUUGUACCAGAAUAGCCCCCUAGGGGAAAUGCAGCCUCCAUUAACCGAGUUUUCUGCCAGGGUAGCAACUCCUGAAUUCUCCCUGAAUGAGGUGGCAUAGUUGAAUCUUGGGUAUUUUGUCGCCGUGGGGUGUGUGUUUUGCCACACGACUGACUGGCAGAGCUAUGCUGGAAUAAGUUUUAAGUGCAGACCAGGCCUAAUUCUGACUUUUGUGCUGGUUUCAUAUUGACUAAGGAAACAGUAGAAUAGACAAUAUAAUAUUUGAUGAGACAAGUGAUGUGAAUGAAAAUUGGAGGUGAUUUAAAAGUUGCUGCAAGUUCCAUGUUACUUGAAAUCCAUAUUAUUCAUUGAGGAGUACAGUCUAUUUUUGGAGCAGGGCAUCCAUUGCAUUUAUUACAGCUCCUCAAAAAACUACAGGACUUUGCAUUUUGACUUGUGAAUUUUAACAUGCUGGUGUUAGUUUUGAAAAGACAGUGAAGCUCAAGAUUGUAAUUGGAGUUAGAUUUGUACCUCAGUUAUUAAUGAAACUGAUUUGGAUUUCUCUCAUCGAAGCUCCACACACACUAAUUCUGAAGUGCUGCGUGGUGAACCCUUUCAACAUUGUUUUCAAACUGAAAUGGAAAAGAUUUUAAUAGUAAUGAUCAUGACUGCAGUAGUCUUCCGGUUCAAUAGACAAAAGGAGAAAAAGUCAAGAUUUUAAUGAAGACAACUAUACUGUAAAAAUACAACCCACUAAACACAAGGGGAACAUUGUUAGAUGUUGCUUAGUCAUGGGCUAGUAAUUUCUAUUAACUGUUUAUGGUUAUGCCAGUUAAACCAAAAAUAUACUGAUUGCAACAAAAAUAUGUGUUAAUAUUCUGAUCAACAGAAUAUUUUGUAUCCAUAACAACACUUUAAUUUCCAUCUGGUAUUUUGCUGUAUAUUUCUCUUUAAGAAGAGCUCAAGGAAAAAUCUGAAGUUAUGAGAUCUUAAAGUUAUAAUGAAGCAAUGAUUUCAUACUGUACCAUCUUUGUAGGAGUGCUACGUAAUAUUUCAAUUAAACUGCGAAGUAAGUACUGCAUUAAUUGUAGCCUAUUAGUCACAAACGACAACAUUUUAUUUUGUUGUACUUAAGUAUUUUAUUAGGAACAGACUGUUUUAGUUAGUGUUUGUUGCCCCAAGAGUUUUAGAGGAACUGAUUUUCUGUCAGGAAAGAUUGGAAUCAAUUGCAUUCUUCCUUUCCAGACAGUGCUAAAACAUUUAUUUAAAGGUUUAUAUGCUCACCCUGCCUUAUCUGUAUUCCAAGUCACUUGUCCAAUGAAAUAAAAUUCAUUCAUGCCUUCCUUCACUGUGUUAUUGACAAAGUGUAAGCUUUAUGUGACUGGAAGCCAGAAUUCUGUCUUUUGAGAAUACCUCUCUAAACUUGUCUGAAAGAAUUAUUUUAUUGCAUUUUUCAUGCCAGUUCAAGUAGGUUUGAAUGGUAAAUCCUAGAAGUUGGAAUGUCUAUGUCCAUAUUAGCCUUUCGAAUUAGUUGCAUGUACAAUAUGUUAGAGACUACAUCAUUAAAUACUAGUACUUCAUGUUACUAUGCAAGAUUGUUAUUUUGAUUA